rnacentral:rRNA from 1 species
GACGAACGCUGGCGGCGUGCUUAACACAUGCAAGUCGAACGGAAAGGCCCCUUUGGGGGUACUCGAGUGGCGAACGGGUGAGUAACACGUGAGUAACCUGCCCUUGACUUCGGGAUAACUUCAGGAAACUGGGGCUAAUACCGGAUAGGAAUCCUUGCUGCAUGGUGGGGGUUGGAAAGCUUCGGCGGUUUUGGAUGGACUCGCGGCUUAUCAGCUUGUUGGUGGGGUAGUGGCUUACCAAGGCUUUGACGGGUAGCCGGCCCGAGAGGGCGACCGGCCACAUUGGGACUGAGAUACGGCCCAGACUCCUACGGGAGGCAGCAGUGGGGAAUAUUGCACAAUGGGCGGAAGCCUGAUGCAGCAACGCCGCGUGCGGGAUGACGGCCUUCGGGUUGUAAACCGCUUUCAGCAGGGGCGAAGCUUUUGUGACGGUACCUGCAGAAGAAGCACCGGCUAACUACGUG